GUGUCUGUGGACAAAUCACACGUGAUGCAACUUGUCCUUUCGGUUGUGUACAAAUAUUCGCAGUUGUAUACAUUUAUAGAGAAAUAAUACUGUUUAAUAGUCUACGGUUUAAAACAUAAACGGUAAAUAUUAUACCGUCUUUGCAUCAUCUACGGAAGCAGGCGAGGACCAAACAUGUCGACAGUACGAAAAACUGGGCAGUUGUUUGUGAUGGACUACAGAGUGAAAGUAGCAGUUCCUCCUUAAGGUCAGAGAUGGCAGCAUCUGAGGGCCUCUUCAAAAGAAGACGUAGUUGAUGAAGGCGUUCUGGAGCAGGACCAGAAAGACCAUGACCGAGCAGCCUUGAGAUCUUAGGCAGCGUCUCCCUGAGACAUCCACCAACCACUGGAACACAUCUCCAAAGUUCUGCCGGGCCAGCUCAGCUUCCCCUCAGAAGAAGUGCUGCCACCUGCCAGAUGAAGGAGCCUUUUGAGAGGCAGCUGGCAUCGUGAUUGGACUGUACUUUGGUCUGUUCCAGUCCAGCUUCAGCUCCAGAGACGGCAGGCGGGACGAGUCAACGGAGGCCUGGUGGACGAAGGCAUGCAGCUGAGUACAAUCCAGAAAACAACAGAGGAGGAGUGCAGCGGCCCAGAGCCAGAACAAACAGAGUAGCAUCACCAAAGAACUACAGACUCUUCACAACCUGCUCAAACUCUUGGUACAGGACCUCACCACACGGGUCAAGAAGGUUUCCUUCUCAUUGCUGCUCUGAAGCUCACCUUCUCCUGCUCAAACUGCUGACAAAUGUUUCUGCUGCUCUAAAGUCUGGUCUCCAGAACUUCCUAAAAACUCUCAAAGUCUCUUCUGCUGCAGGUUGCUAUGUAGAACUGUUCCAGAAAACCUCACUAAACCACAUGGAGGGGCCUCAAGAUAGUCGUCCAAAUGAAACAGUACAAAAACCAAACUAGCACAACCCAAACGCUAAAGUCUCCUGCAGCCUACCAGAGAACCUCUGAGAACAGAGAAUCAGGACAGGAACUCUUACCUUCUGGACAACCAACGGUGGUUCUCAAACAAGAAUACAGAAUGUGUCUGACCAAAAACCUCUAAAGACUCACUACAGCCAAGAUAAAGACACAACUCAGCUGUACCAAAUCCACUAAUCACUGCACACAUUAGUACCAUGUGCUAACUGUGUCUAAAGAACCACAUUUACCAAGACAACUAUCCAGUACAAAGUCCUAAAACACACCAAGAAACACAUUAAAGACGAUUUUACUGCUGGAAGCUGCAAGCCAACACCUAAAGAACAAACUCAAGCAAUGGAGCCAAACCCGGUUCAGUGGUGAAGUGAAGCAGAGGAAAUGUGUUGUCUGCAGCUAAAUAAAGCAGGAAGACACUGAGCUGCUCAGGUGUUCCUGAUAACACCAAGCAGCCACCUGGACAGCCAAUAGGAACACAGCUUACUGGAAGUCCAGAGGGCUGGGUUAGUGAAGGAAAUUUAGUUUAAAGUUGAGGCAGAAAGUUAACAAAGAAAGUUGAAAACCACCUUCUGAUACCUGAAAUCUCUGAGUUUUCACACAAAGAACACCUGAACAUGUCAAACUGGUUUCAUAGUAGAACCAUCAUUGUAAAAACGUCACAGUAUGGUGUGUUGCUCAAAAAACAUUAGGACCCGGCUGUCUAGGGUCGCUGAGAAGCAACACAAAAACAGGACAAACGCUGGUUUCCAGGGGGUUAGACGGCUAUUUAUUUGAAAGAGUAAGUUUACAACAACACAACAUGUGAGCGGAAAAAUCACAAAGUCUUUAGUUCAGCUGACAAUAUUAGUUUUUGUCUUUUUUAUUGACCAAACUUUUCAGGAAGUAGAUGAAGAAUAAUUAAAGCUCUCAUGUAGAAGUCCAACUUAUUUUGGAUCCUUGUGGAGAGUUUAAUCUUAGAGUUUGUAAAGCUGUUGAGUUUUUAGAGUCACAUGGAUUGUUUUGACAUUUAGUAACCGAGUCCUGAAAUAAAAUUACAGUGGAUUUCUGUCAUUUAGUCUGGACUAAACAAAUAACAGCAGCAUAAAUCUCAAACGUCAUUAUGAGGAGUCUGGAUUGAGGUUUCUCACUUGAUAAUGAUCAAAACAUGAAAUUUAGGUUGGUUUAAAGGAAUAUUUCACCUUAAAUCUUUGAAUGUUGACCUAAAAGGUUGGUUUCAGGAAGUAUUCCACCUGCAAGGUCCUCAAACAUCCACCUUAAAGGAACAUUCACAAAAAAUCCUUGGACAUGCACCUAAAAUGUUGGUUUAACUGAGUAUUCCAUCCAAAAUCCUAGACCAAAAAAUCUUGGCGUAAAGGAGUAUUCCACCUUAAAUGUAGACCUAAAGGAUGGUUUGGAGUAAUAUUCUACUCUAAAAUCUUCCAAUGUAGACCUAAAAGGUUUAUCUGAUGGUAUAUUCUACCCAACAUCCUGGAACAUUUACCUAAAAGGUUGGUUUAAUGGUAUAUUACCAGAAGAACCCUUGAACAUUGGGCUUAAUGGUAUAUUCCACUCAAAAUAUCAAGAAGUCAGUGUAAAGGAAAUGUAGACCUGAAAGGAUUGUUUAAAGGAACAUUUAAAUGAUUAUUUUCAUUAUUUAAUAAUCUGUUAUCAGUCAGAACCCUGGCAAACUUAUUUUCAUCAGUUUUUUGAGUGGAAGUCACAAAUAAAGUAGCUGUUUUCAUUUU